rnacentral:rRNA from 1 species
UACGAAGGGUGCGAGCGUUAAUCGGAAUUACUGGGCGUAAAGCGCGCGUAGGUGGUUUGGUAAGCGAUAUGUGAAAGCCCCGGGCUUAACCUGGGAACUGCAUGUCGAACUGUCAGGCUAGAGUAGUGGUAGAGGGGUGUGGAAUUUCCUGUGUAGCGGUGAAAUGCGUAGAUAUAGGAAGGAACAUCAGUGGCGAAGGCGACACCCUGGACCGAUACUGACACUGAGGCGCGAAAGCGUGGGUAGCGAACAGG